rnacentral:rRNA from 1 species
GAUGAACGCUAGCGACAGGCUUAACACAUGCAAGUCGAGGGGCAGCAUAGAAGUAGCAAUACUUUGGUGGCGACCGGCACACGGGUGAGUAACGCGUAUGCAACCUACCUAUCAGAGGGGAAUAACCCGGCGAAAGUCGGACUAAUACCGCAUAAAACAGGGGCACCGCACGGUGAUAUUUGUUAAAGAAAUUCGCUGAUAGAUGGGCAUGCGUUCCAUUAGGUAGUUGGUGAGGUAACGGCUCACCAAGCCGGCGAUGGAUAGGGGAACUGAGAGGUUGGUCCCCCACACUGGUACUGAGACACGGACCAGACUCCUACGGGAGGCAGCAGUGAGGAAUAUUGGUCAAUGGGCGGGAGCCUGAACCAGCCAAGUCGCGUGAAGGAAGAAGGAUCUAUGGUUCGUAAACUUCUUUUGCAGGGGAACAAAGUGCAGGACGUGUCCUGUUUUGUAUGUACCCUGAGAAUAAGGAUCGGCUAACUCCGUGCCAGCCGCCGCCGUAA